GCUAAGUGGUGGUUUUAACACUAUAGGGUCAGGUAUAUAUGUUUGUGUUCCUGACCCUAUAGUGCUCCUUUAAAGGGAGUAGUGUUAGCCGGAAUAAAGCAGAAGAUGAAGUGUCAUUGGAAUGAUGUUACAAAGGCAUUCUUUAAAUAAAUAUGUCUAUUGGUGUAUAGUAAUAGAUUGGUAUUAUAAUCUCGUAUCUAGGUUUUGGGAGGUGCAAGAUAGAGUGUUAAAAAGAAGCACAAUGCAGCAUUUUUUGAUGGACCGAGAGGUGCUGUGCUG